rnacentral:pre_miRNA from 1 species
CCUAAAAAGACUUAAUUUCUGGUUUCUGUGUGGAUCGUCCGUUUUAUAUGAAAUUUUUUUUAUGAUCAAUAUUUUUGUUGUUGUUGAAUGAUAAAACAUGAAUAAUACUUUAUACGUGACUUAUUUUUUUAAUUAUUUUUAUAAUUUUUUUAAAUAAGACGGACGGUGAAACGUUGGACACGGAAAUU